CUUAACGCGAAGAACCUUACCUACUCUUGACAUCCAGAGAACUUUCCAGAGAUGGAUUGGUGCCUUCGGGAACUCUGAGACAGGUGCUGCAUGGCUGUCGUCAGCUCGUGUUGUGAAAUGUUGGGUUAAGUCCCGCAACGAGCGCAACCCUUAUCCUUUGUUGCCAGCGGUUCGGCCGGGAACUCAAAGGAGACUGCCAGUGAUAAACUGGAGGAAGGUGGGGAUGACGUCAAGUCAUCAUGGCCCCUACGAGUAGGGCUACACACGUGCUACAAUGGCGUAUACAAAGAGAAGCGACCUCGCGAGAGCAAGCGGACCUCAUAAAGUACGUCGUAGUCCGGAUUGGAGUCUGCAACUCGACUCCAUGAAGUCGGAAUCGCUAGUAAUCGUAGAUCAGAAUGCUACGGUGAAUACGUUCCCGGGCCUUGUACACACCGAAG
rnacentral:rRNA from 1 species